rnacentral:rRNA from 1 species
UACGGAGGGAGCUAGCGUUCUUCGGAAUUACUGGGCGUAAAGCGCACGUAGGCGGCUUUGUAAGUUAGAGGUGAAAGCCUGGAGCUCAACUACGGAAUUGCCUUUAAGACUGCAUCGCUUGAAUCCAGGAGAGGUGAGUGGAAUUCCGAGUGUAGAGGUGAAAUUCGUAGAUAUUCGGAAGAACACCAGUGGCGAAGGCGGCUCACUGGACUGGUAUUGACGCUGAGGUGCGAAAGCGUGGGGAGCAAACAGG